rnacentral:tRNA from 1 species
GCCCAGGUAGCUCAGUUGGUAGAGCACGUGACUGAAAAUCACGGUGUCGGCGGUUCGACUCCGUCCCCGGGCACCA